GUGUGUGUGUGUAUGUGUGCGCGCAUGUGUAUAUAUAGGAGUGAUCUCUACACCGCUCAGCAGCGUUGGCAAUGUGUGUGUGUGUGUGUGUGUGUGUGUGUCUUGCACAUGUUU